rnacentral:rRNA from 1 species
AUUGAACGCUGGCGGCAGGCUUAACACAUGCAAGCCGAGCGGGGGAAGGUAGCUUGCUACCGGACCUAGCGGCGGACGGGUGAGUAAUGCUUAGGAAUCUGCCUAUUAGUGGGGGACAACAUCUCGAAAGGGAUGCUAAUAGCGCAUACGUACUACGGGAGAAAGCAGGGGAUCUUCGGACCUUGCGCUAAUAGAUGAGCCUAAGUCGGAUUAGCUAGUUGGUGGGGUAAAGGCCUACCAAGGCGACGAUCUGUAGCGGGUCUGAGAGGAUGAUCCGCCACACUGGUACUGAGGCACGGCCCAGACUCCUACGGGAGGCAGCAGUGGGGAAUAUUGGACAAUGGGGGGAACCCUGAUCCAGCCAUGCCGCGUGUGUGAAGAAGGCCUUAUGGUUGUAAAGCACUUUAAGCGAGGAGGAGGCUACUCUAGUUAAUACCUAGGGAUAGUGGACGUUACUCGCAGAAUAAGCACCGGCUAACUCUGUGCCAGCCGCCGCCGUAA